GCCUUUGCGGUGUAGUGGUCAGCACGCUCGGCGUGUAUUCGAGAGGUCCGUGGUUCGAGUCUUGGCGAGGGCA
rnacentral:tRNA from 1 species